rnacentral:rRNA from 1 species
ACGUAGGACGCAAGCGUUAUCCGGAAUUACUGGGCGUAAAGGGCGUGCAGGCGGUUUCCUAAGUCAGGCGUGAAAGCCACGGGCUAAACCUGGGGAGGACGUUUGAUACUGGGGGACUAGAGUGUGGUAGAGGGGUGUAGAAUUCCGGGUGUAGUGGUGAAAUGCGUAGAGAUCCGGAGGAACCCCGGUGGCGAAGGCGACUUGCUGGGCCUGAACUGACGCUCAGACGCGAAAGCAUGGGGAGCGAACGG